AUUGAACGCUGGCGGCAGGCCUAACACAUGCAAGUCGAGCGAGCGGCGGACGGGUGAGUAAUGUAUGGGGACUGCCCGAUAGAGGGGGAUAACUACUGGAAACGGUGGCUAAUACCGCAUACUAUCGGAUAACCCAUAUGGGAUUAGCUAGUAGCUGGGGUAAAGGCUCACCUAGGCGACGAUCACUAGCUGGUCUGAGAGGAUGAUCGUCAACACUGGGACUGAGACACGGCCCAGACUCCUACGGAGGCAGCAGUGGGGAAUAUUGCGCAAUGGGCGCAAGCCUGAUGCAGCCAUGCCGCGUGUGUGAAGAAGGCCUUAGGGUUGUAAAGUACUUUCAGCGGGGAGGCGUUACCCACAGAGAAAGCACCGGCUAACUACGUGCCAGCAGCCGCGGUAAUAC
rnacentral:rRNA from 1 species